rnacentral:rRNA from 1 species
AGGACGAACGCUGGCGGCGUGCUUAACACAUGCAAGUCGAGCGGUGAUCCUCCUUCGGGAGGUGAGCAGCGGCGAACGGGUGAGUAACACGUGGGCAACCUGCCCCUCACACUGGGAUAACCUCGGGAAACCGGGGCUAAUACCGGAUAUGACCUCGAGCGGCAUCUCUUGAGGUGGAAAGCUCCGACGGUGAGGGAUGGGCCCGCGGCCUAUCAGCUUGUUGGUGGGUAAUGGCCUACCAAGGCGACGACGGGUAGCCGGCCUGAGAGGGCGACCGGCCACACUGGGACUGAGACACGGCCCAGACUCCUACGGGAGGCAGCAGUGGGGAAUAUUGCGCAAUGGGCGAAAGCCUGACGCAGCGACGCCGCGUGAGGGAUGAAGGCCUUCGGGUUGUAAACCUCUUUCAGCAGGGACGAAGCGAAAGUGACGGUACCUGCAGAAGAAGCACCGGCUAACUACGUGCCAGCAGCCGCGGUAA